CUACGGGUGGCAGCAGUGGGGAAUAUUGCACAAUGGAGGAAAUUCUGAUGCAGCAACGCCGCGUGGAGGAUGACACUUUUCGGAGCGUAAACUCCUUUUAUAUAGGAAGAAGAUGACGGUACUAUAUGAAUAAGCGCCGGCUAACUCCGUGCCAGCAGCCGCGGUAAUACGGAGGGCGCAAGCGUUACUCGGAAUCACUGGGCGUAAAGAGCGUGUAGGCGGAUUAAAAAGUCAGAAGUGAAAUCCUAUAGCUUAACUAUAGAACUGCUUCUGAAACUCUUAAUCUAGAAUAUGGGAGAGGUAGAUGGAAUUUCUGGUGUAGGGGUAAAAUCCGUAGAGAUCAGAAGGAAUACCGAUUGCGAAGGCGAUCUACUAGAACAUUAUUGACGCUGAGACGCGAAAGCGUGGGGAGCAAACAGGAUUAGAUACCCCAGUAGUC
rnacentral:rRNA from 1 species